rnacentral:lncRNA from 1 species
UGUUUAGUGUGACACUCCAACUCUCUAUCAUUCACAAGUCACAUGAAAUAACAUUGCCAUUCAUCUCAAACAAUCAAUCAUCUUUACAUGCAAAUGCCAUCAAAAGGACUUUUCCAAGGCUUGUAAUGAGGUUGGGUUAACAAGGAAAAUUGGUUUUUCUGGAAAACAAAAUCCUUGAGUUAAGAGAGCUAUCAUAAUAUUCAACAGUUAAGCACAACUCUCUUCCUCAUCGAUCUCUCUCAUUCCGAACUUUUCCCCUUUUUCUUUUUCAUCGAGCUCAUCUUCAUGCUUUUUCUUAUUUUUCUUUUUCUCGUGUGUUUUUCUUUUUCACAUUUGAGCUCAAUGCUUCUUAACAACAUUUUAAUUUCCCCAUGCAACCCCAAACUUGAACCUUUUCAUCACAUACAGUUAAGCUCAUCCCAACUCAAGGUAAAGAAUUUCAAGAUAAGGAUUCAAAUCUUGUUUAAGGCUAAGGUUCAAAAAGGGUAUAAUAUUUUAAGCUCAGUGGGUGAAAAUUUGGCUAGAGAAGGGCUUUCAAAAAUGGCCUUGAUCAUAUGACAUUCACAUGCAAUUCAAUCAAUCAUCAAGGUUAAGGCAAUAUCAUUCAUGCUUUCCUGUAACAAUCCAUAUAAUCAUAAAAACAACUCUGGAGCUCAAACCUUACACAACAUGCUUUCUCACACAAAAUUCAUACAUACACCCUGCUUAGCAUCACAAUCACAAUCAUAAUUUACUAUA